rnacentral:tmRNA from 1 species
GGGGCUGUUUUGGCUUUCGACAGGAAUUUUAUAGCAAUGUUAGCAUACCAGCUGAUACCUGUAACUAUCAACACAUAAUAAACGCAAACAACGCGAAUUACGCUCCAGCUUACGCAAGAGUAGCGUGAGUUUAACCUCCUUUUGGAGCCAGAUUUUGAAAUUUUUGUUGGGAAAUUUUAAAAUCUGUCAUUAAUCCAACUGCUUGAGUAUCAGUGCCUUGUGAUAUUCAAAAAGACAAAAGGCUUAGGUUUCAGAUCAUUUUGGAAGUUUUAAAACUAUAACCGAAUUUCUAAAACUCUCCUAAGUAUGUAGAAAGCAUUGUAAGAUAAAGUUUUUGGACUGGGGUUCAAUUCCCCACAGCUCCACCA